GACGAACGCUGGCGGCGUGCUUAACACAUGCAAGUCGAACGGAAAGGUCUCUUCGGAGAUACUCGAGUGGCGAACGGGUGAGUAACACGUGGGUAAUCUGCCCUGCACUUCGGGAUAAGCCUGGGAAACUGGGUCUAAUACCGAAUAGGACCAUAAGGCGCAUGCCUAUUGGUGGAAAGCUUUUGCGGUGUGGGAUGGGCCCGCGGCCUAUCAGCUUGUUGGUGGGGUGACGGCCUACCAAGGCGACGACGGGUAGCCGGCCUGAGAGGG
rnacentral:rRNA from 1 species